rnacentral:lncRNA from 1 species
AUUAAGCUAUCGUUUUCAUUACAUUCACAAAUUCGAUUUGUUCUUUUCUUUUAAUUUCUUUUAAGAUUCAAAUUCCAAUUUUCCAAACCAACUCUUAACUACUGCAAUUUUUUCUUCUCCUUUUACUUUUCUUUUCCUUUUCAUUCAUCUAAUUAUUAUCAGGCAAAAAUAUAUCGAACUUAUCUGAAUCAUAGACUAUUGUGACACGAUUAUCCAAUCUUUCAAAAAUUUAAUUUUACUAUUCAAUCUUUCAAUUCAUUUGAUUUAAGUUAUUUAAUGGUUCUUCGGUUAUUUAUAUAGUUGUGCGAAUUGCAUAAAAUAUAAUAAUUAAAUUCGUAAAAAUAAACGGUAUAUUUAAAUUUUAAAAUUGAAGCAUCACAAACUUGUUCAGAUCAAAUAAAUUAAAUAUCGAAAUUGAUAUAUUUAAAGAUUAAAUAGUAGGAUAAAAUAAAUAAUAGUUAAUGUAAGUUUUAUACAAUUUUAUCUUAUUAUUAUUAUUAUUAUUAUUAUUAUU